AAUUAGCCCAGAUGGAAGCGGCAUCCUUUCUUGUCCAGAACUUGUUUCAGGACUCUAAAAUAAGUUCCGGACAAGAAAGAUAUAGCAGACAGCUGGAAAUAGC
rnacentral:sRNA from 1 species